AUUGAACGCUAGCGGGAUGCUUUACACAUGCAAGUCGAACGAGUGGCGGACGGGUGAGUAAUAUAUGGGAACGUGCCCAGUAGAGGGGGAUAACUACUCGAAAGAGUGGCUAAUACCGCAUACUAUUGGAGCGGCCGAUAUGAGAUUAGCUAGUUGGUGGGGGAAAGGCUAACCAAGGCAACGAUCAGUAGCUGGUUUGAGAGGAAGACCAGCCACACUGGGACUGAGACACGGCCCAGACUCCUACGGGAGGCAGCAGUGGUGAAUUUUGGACAAUGGGUGAAACCCUGAUCCAGCCAUCCCGCGUGUAUGAGAAGGCCUUAGGGUUGUAAAGUACUUUUAGCAGAGAAGCGGUAUCUGCAGAAUAAGCACCGGCUAACUACGUGCCAGCAGCCGCGGUAAUUC
rnacentral:rRNA from 1 species